AGAGUUUGAUCCUGGCUCAGAACGAACGCUGGCGGCAGGCCUAACACAUGCAAGUCGAACGCUCGUAGCAAUACGGGAGUGGCAGACGGGUGAGGAACACGUGGGAACAUACCCUUUGGUUCGGAAUAACUCAGGGAAACUUGAGCUAAUACCGGAUAAGCCCUUACGGGGAAAGAUUUAUCGCCGAAGGAUUGGCCCGCGUCCGAUUAGCUAGUUGGUGAGGUAACGGCUCACCAAGGCGACGAUCGGUAGCUGGUCUGAGAGGAUGAUCAGCCACAUUGGGACUGAGACACGGCCCAAACUCCUACGGGAGGCAGCAGUGGGGAAUAUUGGACAAUGGGCGCAAGCCUGAUCCAGCCAUGCCGCGUGAGUGAUGACGGCCUUAGGGUUGUAAAGCUCUUUCACCCACGACGAUAAUGACGGUAGUGGGAGAAGAAGCCCCGGCUAACUUCGUGCCAGCAGCCGCGGUAAUACGAAGGGGGCUAGCGUUGUUCGGAUUUACUGGGCGUAAAGCGCACGUAGGCGGAUCUUUAAGUCAGGGGUGAAAUGCCGGAGCUCAACUUCGGAACUGCCUUUGAUACUGGAGAUCUUGAGUUCGAGAGAGGUGAGUGGAACUGCGAGUGUAGAGGUGAAAUUCGUAGAUAUUCGCAAGAACACCAGUGGCGAAGGCGGCUCACUGGCUCGAUACUGACGCUGAGGUGCGAAAGCGUGGGGAGCAAACAGGAUUAGAUACCCUGGUAGUCCACGCCGUAAACGAUGGAUGCUAGCCGUUAGGCAGCUUGCUGCUUAGUGGCGCAGCUAACGCUUUAAGCAUCCCGC
rnacentral:rRNA from 1 species